CCUUUUUUUUUUUUUUUUUACUUGUUAUUGAUUUAUAUGCCUCACUAACUCUUAUCAUUUCCUUUUUGCAAAUUGUGAUGCAGGUUUUGACAAAUGCUUAUUAUUCUUUCAUCAUGGGUUUUGUUUUUUAUUUUUACUUUGCAACGUAUGACAUGUUAACAUUAAUAACACAGUAAUAUAAGAGCUCCAAUUCAGGGGAUGGAUUGCGGUUAUCUGAACCAUUACUAAUGUGCCUCCUUGGAUUUGAUCCUUUACACUAUUUCUUUUUUUGCCUUACAUUUGCUUUCAGGCUUUUGAUAUUAUUACAUAACUGCAAGUUUUUAUGGUUUGAGAAGAUUUAGGUGAUUUUGAAGGCUGGUAAUGCUUAAUUUCAAUGAAAAUUGCAGAUAUUUAUGAAAAUUACCCUAAUUUGGGCAAUCUAUAUGGAAAGUUAAUUCUGUUAAAUUUAAACUUUAUUAAGCCAUUUUAAAAUUUUUUAAAUUUAAACUUUAUUAAGCCAUUUUAAAAUUUU
rnacentral:misc_RNA from 1 species